rnacentral:rRNA from 1 species
GGGACACGUGGUAUCCUGUCUGAAUAUGGGGGGACCAUCCUCCAAGGCUAAAUACUCCUGACUGACCGAUAGUGAACCAGUACCGUGAGGGAAAGGCGAAAAGAACCCCGGCGAGGGGAGUGAAAAAGAACCUGAAACCGUGUACGUACAAGCAGUGGGAGCCUCUUAAUGGGGUGACUGCGUACCUUUUGUAUAAUGGGUCAGCGACUUAUAUUCUGUAGCAAGGUUAACCGAAUAGGGGAGCCGAAGGGAAACCGAGUCUUAACUGGGCGUUAAGUUGCAGGGUAUAGACCCGAAACCCGGUGAUCUAGCCAUGGGCAGGUUGAAGGUUGGGUAACACUAACUGGAGGACCGAACCGACUAAUGUUGAAAAAUUAGCGGAUGACUUGUGGCUGGGGGUGAAAGGCCAAUCAAACCGGGAGAUAGCUGGUUCUCCCCGAAAGCUAUUUAGGUAGCGCCUCGUGAAUUCAUCUCCGGGGGUAGAGCACUGUUUCGGCAAGGGGGUCAUCCCGACUUACCAACCCGAUGCAAACUGCGAAUACCGGAGAAUGUUAUCACGGGAGACACACGGCGGGUGCUAACGUCCGUCGUGAAGAGGGAAACAACCCAGACCGCCAGCUAAGGUCCCAAAGUCAUGGUUAAGUGGGAAACGAUGUGGGAAGGCCCAGACAGCCAGGAUGUUGGCUUAGAAGCAGCCAUCAUUUAAAGAAAGCGUAAUAGCUCACUGGUCGAGUCGGCCUGCGCGGAAGAUGUAACGGGGCUAAACCAUGCACCGAAGCUGCGGCAGCGACACUGUGUGUUGUUGGGUAGGGGAGCGUUCUGUAAGCCUGCGAAGGUGUGCUGUGAGGCAUGCUGGAGGUAUCAGAAGUGCGAAUGCUGACAUAAGUAACGAUAAAGCGGGUGAAAAGCCCGCUCGCCGGAAGACCAAGGGUUCCUGUCCAACGUUAAUCGGGGCAGGGUGAGUCGACCCCUAAGGCGAGGCCGAAAGGCGUAGUCGAUGGGAAACAGGUUAAUAUUCCUGUACUUGGUGUUACUGCGAAGGGGGGACGGAGAAGGCUAUGUUGGCCGGGCGACGGUUGUCCCGGUUUAAGCGUGUAGGCUGGUUUUCCAGGCAAAUCCGGAAAACCAAGGCUGAGGCGUGAUGACGAGGCACUACGGUGCUGAAGCGACAAAUGCCCUGCUUCCAGGAAAAGCCUCUAAGCAUCAGGUAACAUCAAAUCGUACCCCAAACCGACACAGGUGGUCAGGUAGAGAAUACCAAGGCGCUUGAGAGAACUCGGGUGAAGGAACUAGGCAAAAUGGUGCCGUAACUUCGGGAGAAGGCACGCUGAUAUGUAGGUGAAGCGACUUGCUCGUGGAGCUGAAAUCAGUCGAAGAUACCAGCUGGCUGCAACUGUUUAUUAAAAACACAGCACUGUGCAAACACGAAAGUGGACGUAUACGGUGUGACGCCUGCCCGGUGCCGGAAGGUUAAUUGAUGGGGUUAGCGGCAACGCGAAGCUCUUGAUCGAAGCCCCGGUAAACGGCGGCCGUAACUAUAACGGUCCUAAGGUAGCGAAAUUCCUUGUCGGGUAAGUUCCGACCUGCACGAAUGGCGUAAUGAUGGCCAGGCUGUCUCCACCCGAGACUCAGUGAAAUUGAACUCGCUGUGAAGAUGCAGUGUACCCGCGGCAAGACGGAAAGACCCCGUGAACCUUUACUAUAGCUUGACACUGAACAUUGAGCCUUGAUGUGUAGGAUAGGUGGGAGGCUUUGAAGUGUGGACGCCAGUCUGCAUGGAGCCGACCUUGAAAUACCACCCUUUAAUGUUUGAUGUUCUAACGUUGGCCCCUAAUCGGGGUUGCGGACAGUGUCUGGUGGGUAGUUUGACUGGGGCGGUCUCCUCCUAAAGAGUAACGGAGGAGCACGAAGGUUGGCUAAUCCUGGUCGGACAUCAGGAGGUUAGUGCAAUGGCAUAAGCCAGCUUGACUGCGAGCGUGACGGCGCGAGCAGGUGCGAAAGCAGGUCAUAGUGAUCCGGUGGUUCUGAAUGGAAGGGCCAUCGCUCAACGGAUAAAAGGUACUCCGGGGAUAACAGGCUGAUACCGCCCAAGAGUUCAUAUCGACGGCGGUGUUUGGCACCUCGAUGUCGGCUCAUCACAUCCUGGGGCUGAAGUAGGUCCCAAGGGUAUGGCUGUUCGCCAUUUAAAGUGGUACGCGAGCUGGGUUUAGAACGUCGUGAGACAGUUCGGUCCCUAUCUGCCGUGGGCGCUGGAGAACUGAGGGGGGCUGCUCCUAGUACGAGAGGACCGGAGUGGACGCAUCACUGGUGUUCGGGUUGUCAUGCCAAUGGCACUGCCCGGUAGCUAAAUGCGGAAGAGAUAAGUGCUGAAAGCAUCUAAGCACGAAACUUGCCCCGAGAUGAGUUCUCCCUGAGACUUAGAGUCUCCUGAAGGAACGUUGAAGACGACGACGUUGAUAGGCCGGGUGUGUAAGCGCAGCGAUGCGUUGAG